AACGAACGCUGGCGGCAGGCCUAACACAUGCCAGUCGAGCGAGGACUUCGGUCCUAGCGGCGGACGGGUGAGUAACGCGUGGGAACGUGCCCUUUGCUUCGGAAUAGCCCUGGGAAACUGGGAGUAAUACCGGAUGAGCCCUUUGGGGGAAAGAUUUAUCGGCGAAGGAUCGGCCCGCGUUGGAUUAGGUAGUUGGUGGGGUAAUGGCCUACCAAGCCGACGAUCCAUAGCUGGUUUGAGAGGAUGAUCAGCCACACUGGGACGGAGACACGGCCCAGACUCCGACGGGAGGAAGGAGUAGGGAAUCGUCCGCAAUUGGCGAAAGCCUGACGGAGGAAGGAGGCGUGAGUGAGGAAGGGCUUCGGAUCGUAAAACUAUGUUAUUAGGAAAGAACAAAUGGGCAAGUAACGAUGCACGGAUGGAAGGUACGUAAUCAGAAAGCCACGGCUAACGACGUC
rnacentral:rRNA from 1 species